rnacentral:lncRNA from 10 species
UGUAGAGAUGGAGUCUUGGUAUGUUGGCCAGGCUGGUCUCAAAUUCCUGGGCUCAAGUGAUCCUCCCGCCUCAGCCUCCCGGAUUGCUGAGACUGCAGGCCUCUUUCGGGUGGUCAUUCUGGCUGGCUGCAGGAGCCUCUUGGAAGAUGCAAAUGGAUGAAACAACAGAAAACUGUGCUGCAAAAGGCCGAUGCUCUGUGUAUGGCCUCUCAAAAGAUG